rnacentral:lncRNA from 1 species
AGCAAACAUGGUAUCAUUGGAGAAAGAAAUUCUGAUGCGUUUUUUUCAGCCACACUUCUGUCCAUACGGUUAUUUUUUAUGGGAAAAUCUCUUUGGUGUUCCAGCUAAGGAACCCAUCUGCUUCCAGUAUCAAGGAAACAUACACUUUUAACAGAUGGGAAACAGGUCCAGGGUCACAAACCAGUCAGCGGUAGGUUUGGAGACUCAGUGAAGUCACCAUGAACCCAGCACUAGAAAUUUGCCUUUACACAAGAAAUAAUAGGAUGCUGAAAAAAAAUUGCAAUGUAAAGUGAUAACAGAGAGAAUAUCUGAAAUCUGAAAUCUGAAAUAAAUUUUCAUCAUUUUUCUUUCACUUUAUCCAUUAAUGGCUCUCCUCAAUUUAUGUCAGUUGAUCACAUGAAGACAUUAAUACCUGCAUCACUUUAACUUACAUAAGAACCUACCUUUGCCAGGGAACUCCUCUAUUUUGAGACACCGAGAGAAUAAGACUUCCCCCCUCCCCCCUCCCCACCACAGUCCCCAGAGUAUGGUAUUCCCCUUCCUGUGUCCAUGUGAUCUCAUUGUUCAAUUCCCACCUAUGAGUGAGAAUAUGCGGUGUUUGGUUUUUUGUUCUUGCGAUAGUUUACUGAGAAUGAUGGUUUCCAAUUUCAUCCAUGUCCCUACAAAGGAUAUGAACUCAUCAUUU